UUAAUGCUGAUGUGUUUAUGCUUUGUAGGGAAUUUCUCUUCUUUGCAGAAGAUCGGUUUAUUUAGAUGCUGAGCCAGUGUGUUCUCCUCCACGGCAGAGAUUCUACGUAUUGAUUUUAAGAUUUUUUGUUUGGGUGUAAUUUGGGGAUGAAUGUGGGUGAUGCUAGUUGCAGUUGGCAUUUUCUUCAGCAUUCUAGAUGGCACUUGAACUGUAAUUUUAUGGCAGAAGGUUGGAGGAACUUGAAGAGCAACAAAAUGAGGUCUUUUUGACAGAAGACAGAAGACAGAAGCCUAGAUCAAGUUCCUUGGUCAAUAAGUCUUUUCUCCGCUAGUGGGACUAUUGGGACUAUUAACUUGUAGGAAGUUUGCCUUGGAGGACAAAUCAUUGAGCGCUACUUUGAUGCAGAUUUUGUAAAAGAUCGUGAGGAUAGAAUUAAGAAAAGUUGUGAGUAGCGUGAUUGAUGGCAUGAGUUUGAAAUUUCUGGAAAGAAGUUUCUGGACAUCACUUACAAUUCCCACAAUAUCCAAUAGCACAUUAGCAAUAGAAGAUCUGUAAUCUUCAAAUUCAAACCUUCAAUAUUUUCUUCCAUUA